rnacentral:tRNA from 1 species
GCCAAGAUAGCUCAGUCGGUAGAGCACAUCCAUGGUAAGGAUGAGGUCCCCGGUUCGAUCCCGGGUCUUGGCUCCA